AUGAACGCUAGCUACAGGCUUAACACAUGCAAGUCGAGGGGCAUCAGGAAGAAAGCUUGCUUUCUUUGCUGGCGACCGGCGCACGGGUGAGUAACACGUAUCCAACCUGCCCUUUACUCGGGGAUAGCCUUUCGAAAGAAAGAUUAAUACCCGAUAGUAUAAUGAUUCCGCAUGGUUUGAUUAUUAAAGGAUUCCGGUAAAGGAUGGGGAUGCGUUCCAUUAGGUUGUUGGUGAGGUAACGGCUCACCAAGCCUUCGAUGGAUAGGGGUUCUGAGAGGAAGGUCCCCCACAUUGGAACUGAGACACGGUCCAAACUCCUACGGGAGGCAGCAGUGAGGAAUAUUGGUCAAUGGGCGAUGGCCUGAACCAGCCAAGUAGCGUGAAGGAUGACUGCCCUAUGGGUUGUAAACUUCUUUUAUAUUAGAAUAAAGUGCAGUAUGUAUACUGUUUUGUAUGUAUAAUAUGAAUAAGGAUCGGCUAACUCCGUGCCAGCAGCCGCGGUAAUACGGAGGAUCCGAGCGUUAUCCGGAUUUAUUGGGUUUAAAGGGAGCGUAGGUGGACUGGUAAGUCAGUUGUGAAAGUUUGCGGCUCAACCGUAAAAUUGCAGUUGAUACUGUCAGUCUUGAGUACAGUAGAGGUGGGCGGAAUUCGUGGUGUAGCGGUGAAAUGCUUAGAUAUCACGAAGAACUCCGAUUGCGAAGGCAGCUCACUGGACUGCAACUGACACUGAUGCUCGAAAGUGUGGGUAUCAAACAGGAUUAGAUACCCUGGUAGUCCACGCCGUAAACGAUGACUACUAGGUGUCGGGCAGCAAAGCUGUUCGGUGCCGCAGCAAACGCAAUAAGUAGUCCACCUGGGGAGUACGUUCGCAAGAAUGAAACUCAAAGGAAUUGACGGGGGCCCGCACAAGCGGAGGAACAUGUGGUUUAAUUCGAUGAUACGCGAGGAACCUUACCCGGGCUUAAAUUGCAGUGGAAUGAUGUGGAAACAUGUCAGUGAGCAAUCACCGCUGUGAAGGUGCUGCAUGGUUGUCGUCAGCUCGUGCCGUGAGGUGUCGGCUUAAGUGCCAUAACGAGCGCAACCCUUAUCUUUAGUUACUAACAGGUCAUGCUGAGGACUCUGGAGAGACUGCCGUCGUAAGAUGUGAGGAAGGUGGGGAUGACGUCAAAUCAGCACGGCCCUUACGUCCGGGGCUACACACGUGUUACAAUGGGGGGUACAGAAGGCAGCUACCUGGUGACAGGAUGCUAAUCCCAAAAGCCUCUCUCAGUUCGGAUCGAAGUCUGCAACCCGACUUCGUGAAGCUGGAUUCGCUAGUAAUCGCGCAUCAGCCACGGCGCGGUGAAUACGUUCCCGGGCCUUGUACACACCGCCCGUCAAGCCAUGGGAGCCGGGGGUACCUGAAGUACGUAACCGCAAGGAGCGUCCUAGGGUAAAACUGGUGACUGGGGCU
rnacentral:rRNA from 1 species